rnacentral:rRNA from 1 species
AGUGAACGCUGGCGGUAGGCCUAACACAUGCAAGUCGAACGGCAGCACAGUAAGAGCUUGCUCUUACGGGUGGCGAGUGGCGGACGGGUGAGGCAUACAUCUGAAUCUACUUUUUCGUGGGGGACAACGUAGGGAAACUUACGCUAAUACCGCAUACGACCUACGGGUGAAAGCAGGGGAUCUUCGGACCUUGCGCGAUUGAAUGAGCCGAUGUCGGAUUAGCUAGUUGGCGGGGUAAAGGCCCACCAAGGCGACGAUCCGUAGCUGGUCUGAGAGGAUGAUCAGCCACACUGGAACUGAGACACGGUCCAGACUCCUACGGGAGGCAGCAGUGGGGAAUAUUGGACAAUGGGCGCAAGCCUGAUCCAGCCAUACCGCGUGGGUGAAGAAGGCCUUCGGGUUGUAAAGCCCUUUUGUUGGGAAAGAAAAGCAGCAGGUUAAUACCCCGCUGUUCUGACGGUACCCAAAGAAUAAGCACCGGCUAACUUCGUG